UAUAGUAUAGUAUAAAUGAUAUAUACUUAAUAUAUAACAUUUUGCAUGUGUGUGUAAUUAUAAACUGUAUUACAUAAAUGUAUGUAGUAAUAUCACCCGUAAUAUCACAUACUAUGUCACAAAUCAGACUGAAAGCCUCUUACGGUUGUUAAAAGUAUUGAAGUAUUUCAGCGAGACCUAGCCUGUGGUAAGCACUCGGUAGGUAUAAAAUUCAGUGUCGCAGUUGUCAGUUAAGGAGAACUGAGCAGUGCCUGGUGCCUGGCAAGUACUCCAGCAAUGCUAGCUUUUGCCAUUAUACUAGCCGAGUACCACAAUACUUAGAGCUUGUGCUCAGGAGGUGUUAAGUUUAUUGUAGAACAUUUAGUAAAUUUUAUUUGAGGUUUUUCUAAGCUAUAUAAUCAUACCAUCCACCCAUAAUGACAAUAUUGCCUUCUAUUUUCUUGUGUUUUUAAUUCCAAUUAUUGAUGUUAUUACGUUGUCUAAUGGUAUGGGACGUGGAACUUUCCGAGCAAAAUUAAAUAAUGGUGGUGAGAGUGGGCCGUUUUGCCCUUUCUGACUUUAUGAGCGUCGAGUUGUGCUCGCUGUUGGAUGCAUUCACACAAACGCUAUUAAGCCGGUGUCCUUUUAUACUAUUUGGCUAAAACCUUAAAUCAAAGAAGAACAACUAGGCAGGGACCCAGUACUCUCGAACGCCUUCCGGUCCCCGUGGAGGUGUCGGAGGUGUCGUCCCUCCCGACCAGCUGAUGGGAGAGUCGUGAUGGUCCCUCUCGCCGUGCUCAUCCUUUGGCUCCCUCCCUGAGACCCCCUUGCUAUGGUCGGGACCCCGCUGGGCACAAGUCAGCCCCUCCCUUACCUUGUAGAGAAGUAUGUCAGGCAUCUGGGUCAGGAGACAAAAUGUCAAUAUUCUUUGGGGAAGAACCAAAUGAGCUAGAAGCAAACCCAAGGUGACAACAUUCCUCUGAAUGUGACCGAGCGGUUGCACCAACUUUGCAAACCCAAACCCAAAUGCGAGAGAAAAUCUGUCCAAAUUCUUUAUUUGGAGGACAUGGACAGAAACAGACUCUCAAACCUCAUCUGAAUUUAAUGACCUAGAGAGAAAGUUUGCGUUUCAGAAGAUACACAGAGGCUUACCCGGAAAAGCUCUUGGCUUGAUCAUUUUUGUGGAUAAUUUAAUCCUAUGUCCAAAUUUAAAACUCCUAGUUGGAAAAAAAGGCGGGGGGAGAGGGGAUAUAAGUUAACUUUUCAUUUGUGGUAUAUAAUCUGUAAAACAAACCCUUUUUAUAUGGAAAGCAAUAGAAGACAGCUUUUCCUUUGAACACACAACGGGUUUCAUUGAGGCCGAACCUCCUCAAUGCACUUGUCACAGACACACCACAGGGACUUCAUGGUGUGUCUGCUACUCUUGCUGCUUAAUAAGAGUAAAACCCUUAAGGCAAAUGAUAAGCUACCAUUACAAUUUCAAUUUAUUGCUGAAACUAUUUUAAGGAUAUUUGAACCUCUAUAUGAAGAUAAUAGGAAAUGUUUAUAGUUGUGGAUAGAAGCAAUUACGGAAUUCUAUAUGGGGUAAUUUGUCAACUGAUUGUACAGUGAGCUAUAAUUUUAUGGGUAAAGGUUUAAUGCUUUGUUAUCUUGUAACUGUCAUUUUGAAUUUAACCUGUAUUACCUGCUAAUUUUUACAUUUCCAGUUACUAAUUAAGGCAAGGCCUCCUCUCUUUCAUGAAAUCUAUUCACUUCUGCACUGGAUUCUUUUUCCCAGAGACAAAUAAGAAUUAUUCUAGCUAUUUCAGUGACCAUAAUUUUCUUUUUUGAGAAGGCAAGGAAAGUGGAAUUUUUCCUUAAAGCUCUCUGUACCAGCCGUCUGAUUCCCCCCUCACCUUUUUUCCUUUGGAAGCCUCUAUUUCUUUGAUAUACGGCUUUUUAGUGGCCAAUCUAUUUGUGAACUGGUAUUUUAAAAGUUGGGGUUGAGUUCUCUGAUGGUCUAGCAGGUUAAGGCUCCUGCAUUUUCACCCCUGUAGCUCUGGCCGCUGCCGUGCGGCACAGGUUCUAUCCCUGGCCCUGGAACUUCCACAUGCUGCAGGUGUGGCAAAAAAGAACAAAACAAAAGAGAAAGCAUAUAAUAAAUGUCGCAACUCUCAUUUUUUAAAAAAGGUUUUGGUUUGAAAUUAAGGGGGAAAUACAUAGCAUCACAUUACCUGCAUAAAACCUCUAUCGAAGGGUUCAUCAACCGUAAGAAGCCUGAGACAUGGCAGUUCUGAGAGCCAUCAGAAAAAUUUUGUCACUGUGGAUUCUGCCACCAAAGGCUAUUUGAUCUUUGGGAAAGACAAAACAGAGGGAGAAAUAUUGAAUAACUAAAGAUUUACAAAUACAGAGUGGUUUAUAAUGAGUCUUCAGAUGUUUGCUAAACUCUAUUAAAUCAGAAAACCCCAAAGACCAGCGUUUAGAAGGCCCUCACUGGUCAGUUGUUAGCGCAGUGUCCAAGCAUCCCCAGUUUGCUAAUGAUCUAUAGGAUUUGAAAGCAAACGCCAGACAACCAGGGAAGGAAUGAUGAGACUACAUAAAAGCCUCCUUACCCUUUGCUUCCAGAGCUGUUUGGUAACCCCAACCCUGUGUGUGAUCUCGCAUUCCUCAGAGUCGUUCUUUCUUGAAACUCAGCUGAGUGGAGACCUUAUUUCCUUUGAGGUUCCCUGACCUUGGGGGACAAGGUCACGGUGCUCUUUUCCUUUGGCUGCUUUUCUCAGAAAAAGAGAAGAACCAGCUCUCGUUACUGGCCCAGGGAACCUCUGUUCCAGCAACUGCUAUCAAUUAUCCUCAGACUCGGACCUCGUCUUCAAAGCAGCAAAGCGUGUGUGUGGAGAAAUGGCCUUGGCAGCCGGACCACUGAUGAGUUCAUUAAUUUCCAGAGAAAAUGGAUGGAAGAGCCCCCCCCUCCUCCGUUUCUCCCGUCGUUUCACUCCCUAAGUCUUUGUGACUUUGCGAUGGGCAGGCUUCUGGGCUCCAUGGUCAAUGUCAUUUAUUCCAGGUCCUGAUAGGUGAGUCUUUCCAUCUUUCGCUCUCUUCCCAACCCCACCCUCGAGGGCUGCCUCCUCCCAGCCAGCAUCUUGACUCUUGUAUUUCUGUAGAACUCACUUGGGGAAGGAACGAAUCUGGGUGGAAGGCCGGAGACCACCUGCUAGCAGGUGACGAAGGUCCCUAAUUGCAGAAACGCAUUCGUGUCUCAGCACGGGCACUUGAAAGACUCGGGGGGCACCCGGCCGUCUCGGAUAGACCUCGUGACCUUCUGACUUAUCUUGGGGACCAUGAUGAUGACUUGGCUGGGUCCAUGGCAUGCAGAGGUUCCAGGGCCAGAGUCCUUAGCCCACGGAGCCACCAGGGAACUCCUACCUGGAUUAUGUAUUAGGUGGUCAUUUCACGGACUCAACUCUUCCUCUAGAAUGAGAGUUUUCCCGCCCGGUUCACUGCUGUUGCUCUGGUGCCGAGCACAGCAUUUGGUGGCUAACAUGUGUUCCGUAUAUACUGGAUAAAAUAGUCUGUGCUGUGACAAAGAGUGACAAUAUUUGUUUGGAAAACAUAGAGAAAUUACUCUUGACAGAUUGAUGCAGAGAGACGAUGAGAACACCAUGGCGAUAGAGAAUAAACCCGGAGGUUUAUAUUAAUAAUCCUCCUGCCUCAGCCCCACUGAGCCCCAUGUGAAUGCAAACCCAUUCUGGAAAUGCGUCUUGCCUUAGAAACGGCUCCAUGAGGACAGGAGCCCGGUCACUGUCGUCUGGUCCAGCACCGUCUGCAGGAGGCACUGGAUGAGUCUGUGAUGGAGAAAGCGUUUCCUAAACAGCGCGUUGGCUGUCAUUCAGCAGCAUCGCUGUGUUUACUUCCAGUCCAAUAAUUUUGGGUGGGUUUUGGGGGUUUUGUUUUUUGUGGGUUUUUUUUUUUUUUUGAAUCAAGUGUCUUGGGGCAGAAUUUAAAAUCGCAGGCUGGCGUCCCUGUCAUGGCUCAGUGGUAGUGAAUCCCACUAGUAUCCACAAGGACGCAGUUUUGAUGCCUGGCCUCGCUCAGUGGGUUCAGGAUCCCUCACUGCUGUGAGCUGCAGUGUGGGUCCCAGAUGCAGCUAGGAUCCGGCAUUGCUGUGGCUGUGAUGUAGGCUGGCAGCUGCAGUUCCUCUUCGACCUUUCGUCUGGGAGCUUCCAUAUGCCGCAGGUGUGGUCCUAAAAAGACAAGUAAAACUUACUUAAAAAAUAAAUAAAAUAAAAUCACAGGCUGUGGAGCCUGAUACCUGGAUUUUUAAAAAGUUAUUAUUUGUUUUAAUGGCCACACCCAAAGCAUAUGGAAGUUCUGGGGCCAGGGAUCGAGUACGAGCUGCAGCUGCGGCUAACACCACACCUGGGGCAGUGUGGGAUCCUUUAGCCCACAGUGCCCAGCGAGGGAUUAGAACCUGCGCCUCUGCAGCACCCUGAGCAACUGUGGUUGGACUCUUAAUCCACCGCGAGCUGACAGUGAACUCCCUGAUUACCUGGCUUUAAAUCCCGGCUCUGGGUGAGCGUUGACCCAGGAAGUUGUUCCUCGGGUUCCGCAGCUGGAAGACACGGAUAACAGCCCUUGGAGUUAUUCCUUGUAAAGCACCGGACGAGGUCAAGCAGGUGGCAGGCCCUCAAGCAGCCUCGUAGCUCUUCCUUUUGUCAUGAACUUGUCAAACCUCUCGUGGUCCACGGAUGCGAUUACACGGAAUUCGUGUCGGUCCUUGUCUGCAGUGGGCCCCCCCCCCCACCAGCGGGCGUUUUUUAAACUUUUAAUCUUGAGAUUAGGACUCUUUUUUUUUCUUGUUUUUACAAUGUUGAUACAAAUGAGAGGGCGAGGGGAUGUAGCGCGUGGCGGUGACAGUGCCGCCUACGAUCAUCCCAUCAUCCCUACAGUGACACAGGGGGCAUAGUCUCCUCCUACCGCCGACAGCGCUGCAUCGCGUAUUUGAAAUCUGCUGGAGUUCCCGUCGUGGCGCAGUGGUUAACGAAUCCGACUGGGAACCACGAGGCUGCGGGUUCGGUCCCUGCCCUUGCUCAGUGGGUUAACGAUCCGGCGUUGCCGUGAGCUGUGGUGUAGGUUGCAGACGCGGCUUGGAUCCCACGUUGCUGUGGCUCUGGCCUAGGCCGGUGGCUACAGCUCUGAUUCAACCCCUAGCCUGGGAACCUCCAUAUGCCGCGG
rnacentral:lncRNA from 1 species